rnacentral:tRNA from 1 species
CAAAUUAGAGCUUGAUAGAAAGUUUUUUAUUUACAUUAAAAAGUUGUCGUGCAAUUCGAUAUAAUUUGA